GCAAGAAGCACAGCACCGCCAGUUACCACGCAGACAUCCUGGAGAACUGAGCCCACCACCUACCAGAGGUAGUGGAAAAGAAAGGACAUGGGGGAAGUGGACCUGUUUAGAAAUGGUUCUUUGGAGCAAAUCCCAUCUGUGUUGUCAGGAAAUCGGCAGUUUGGUUUACAGGUCAGCAACAGCAGCUUGAUCCACUUGCAAACACUUCACAGACACACCAGCAGUCCAGUUCGGGAGAGUUGGAAGAGCAAACACAAAUCAGCAGUGGUGGCAUGACCUAACAGGAACAGCCAGGCCUCAGCCAGAUCAGCACAAGUCUGCAGGAGGGACCAGAACCAACAGGGACACCAGGAGUUCUUUGCUGUGCCUCUCUCAGUGAAGCAAAGAUCAUCAAAGAUGAGAGACCAAGAAGUAUUGCAGAGCUAGCUCUACAAGCAAGCCCUUCUCAGUCCUAUUUACACUCCCUCCAAAAAUCACAUGCUCUCCACAGCUCUUGCCUCAGCAUGUGAGUCUGUCUUAGCCAAACUCCACGAGUCUGUAUCAGCUGACAUCACUCUGCCAGUUGACCCAAGUCCUCAGAACCUGCAAGAAGUCGCAGCAUACCACCAGAAGGGUUUUUGGUGUAUUUCGAUUUCUGGAGUCCUGACAAAUGGCGCUCAACUACAAUUUAAGGCGGACCAAUACUUGUGUGUUGUUAAUGAAGAAUUCUUCACCAUGUGUCCUUUCACGUGCUUGCUUUAGCAGAACAUCGUUUCACCCGUGUCUGCUUCAGUGAAACAUUCCUUCACAAGUCUGCCUUAGCGAAACAUCCUUUCACCUGUGUCCACUUCAGGGAAACACUCCUUCACGUGUUUGUCCCAGCAAAACACCAUCCAACACAACUGACUUUCCAAAGAACCCUUCAAUCUACAAAAAAAAAGAAGACUCAGAAACCACCUUAGAAAUGCAUCUCACAAAAUACCUGCAAGGCCAUUAGAAAACUACAGAAAGAUUUUAAACAUAUGUCUGAAAAUAUCCUAAAUAUCCUAAAGACACAUUUCUUUCCCCAGAAGUAAUCUAUAUAUGUAAUAUGAUUCCAAAUAAAAAUUCAACAGGGUCUUUAAAAAU
rnacentral:lncRNA from 1 species